CUAUAGUGUUUCUUUAAUGUGAGGUAAAUUAGAGAUUAGUGCCACGAAUAAUAUACUAGAUUACCUACUUACAAGCAGAUGAGGAUGAUGAUGGGCUCUAGUUGCAGUCUGGCUCCACUGGUCUGGUGUAUAACAGGAUCUCUGGAGGCUGUUUGUAACUGUGGUCACACAAAUCAAUGUUCUGGGAGAACGAGAAGCAGCUCCAUUUUUUGGGGGCCCUUUACACAGCUCAAGGUCUGAGUCCCAGGGUCCACCUUCAUUUUCCACCAAUGAGUUUGUUCACAGGGGAUGGAGUGUGUAGGGAAUGUCCUGAUUUGUGUGUAAGGAAUGCAUUUUGUGAAUCUGUGUUUGUAUGUGUAAGGGCUGCAAGGUGUGUUUCUGUGUAUGUAAGGGAUGAAGUGUGUGAGUCUGUAAGGGGUGCAUUGAGUGUGUGUAAGGAAUGCAUUGUGUGUUUC